CCAGACUCCUACGGGAGGCAGCAGUGGGGAAUAUUGCACAAUGGGGGAAACCCUGAUGCAGCAACGCCGCGUGAGUGAAGAAGUAUUUCGGUAUGUAAAGCUCUAUCAGCAGGGAAGAGAAUGACGGUACCUGACUAAGAAGCCCCGGCUAACUACGUGCCAGCAGCCGCGGUAAUACGUAGGGGGCAAGCGUUAUCCGGAUUUACUGGGUGUAAAGGGAGCGUAGACGGCAUGGCAAGUCUGAUGUGAAAACCCGGGGCUCAACCCCGGGACUGCAUUGGAAACUGUCAGGCUAGAGUGUCGGAGAGGCAAGUGGAAUUCCUAGUGUAGCGGUGAAAUGCGUAGAUAUUAGGAGGAACACCAGUGGCGAAGGCGGCUUACUGGACUGUAAAUGACGCUGAGGCUCGAAAGCGUGGGGAGCAAACAGGAUUAGAUACCCUGGUAGUA
rnacentral:rRNA from 1 species